GAGGGGAAGCAGGAGGGAGGACGCUCUCAACUCACUGAACGUGAGUUCAUAGGAAUGGACCGCAUCUUGAAAAAUACCAAGGCCUCUGUGACAAGGAUGUGUCCCCACUCCCACUUGAAAAAUGCAGAGGCAAGGAGCUCACAAGCUCACCAGGACUCUGCCUGGGCAACAUGAAUGGCUCCCCGUGCAAGAACCUAGCCCACUAUGCCGGAGGGGCCACCCUUGCCCCCAUGUGACUGCUCUAGCAGCCAAGAGUGUUUGUCUCUUGAGAAGAAACCAGCACUUGACUAGAGAAGCUUUUGGACAGCUUUCUAGAGCAGACGCUUCCGUUUCCUGGGAACAGAAAGAUCAGAGUUGCAUCUACUACCUGUGGCAUUGUGAGGAGUGUAGAAGCUUCCUCAGUAGAUAAGCAAGUAUCAGCAGUGCUCAUCCACCAGAAUGUCUCAUCAGCCCCUUGCUGGGCAGGCCAAGCCCUCCCCAUCCCCACACUCACAUAUGCUGUGGAGCAUUGCUGUAGGAGCCAUGUUCUAGUUUCUGCCACUUGCCAAGGUGGGCAGCCGAUCUGUGGAGCAGGUCACAGUACUUGGGAGGCAGCAGCUGAGUGGUGAGCAUGACAAAGGCAUUGAUCCACACCAUGAUGAGGUGCUCACAAGACCAGCGCAUGUCGUAGUACUGCGUGCUCUGCAAAGAGACCAGACAAGAGCUUGGCACCACUGCCACUAAGCAGAGGAGGGAAUGACAAGGGACGUACUGCAUGUGCAUCCAGCAGACCCACACCACACAUUACAGGCAUGCGCUUUUGGACCAGUGAUUUCAGAGGGUUACAGCUAGGAAACACUCAAUGCUCCCUUCUCCUUGACCUGAAGGAGAAAGGGCAGGGGCAUGAUGCCGCAGCUGGUGCAUUUUCUCCUCUAGCAGCAGAUGACAGGAGGGUCUGCUUGCCACAGAACUGCUUCAGGAGCACCAGUUGCACCAGGACUGCUACGUGGAUUGUGGAGCCCUGCCCAUUUCAUUACACCAACUGGAGCUCAUACAAAUUAGAAAAAGACAGUAAGUACAACCCCCACGCUGACAAGAGGUUCUUGAAUUUAGGCUCCCAAACAUUCUAGUUGACUCCUCUUUCUAACAGGCUGAACACCAAAGCCUCUGAUCCAAGCACUCAAAACCCAGGACGAUGUUGGAUCUGAGACAGAUACAGAUUACAGCCAACAGCUCUGGUUCCCAUAGUGGCUCACCCCUAGGCAGCUAUGCUCCCCCUGCCCUGAAAUGACAAGGUAUACUCACGGGUAGCCCAAGAAGAGAAGAUUGAGAACGGAAUGGCUGCGGAAGAGGUUGACUAGAGUCCAGCAGAGCACCCAGCCACAGAGGGUGAGUAGCACCAGGCGCACCAUGUAGUGAAUCACUGAUGUUGCGCCCACCUGAGAGGCCUACAAAUAGAGAAGAGAUGUUCAGCGGCCCUACUGCACUGGUGCUCAAACGCAAGCGGGUGCCUCUAGAGGAAGAGCAGUGAGAGGGUGCCAGAAAGUACGCUCUAAGAGGGAUGGCUGCCCUCUUCCUUCCAGAAGUAAAGGGGAAAUGCCUUGAUGCCAUCUGUGGGAGAAUCCAAAGGAUUCAUGAAGUUCUACGGGAUGACUAAAAUAGGGCCCUUAAAAAAAACUCAGAGCUGCAAAGUAAAAAAAAUAUUUUCACUCAAGUCGUUUAAUGCUCUGAUGAUAUUACAGCAUAGCCUGAAAAGCAUUUCCUCUUGCUAUUUCUUUGGCAAAAAUCACAUUUCAGCAUUCAUUUUCCUAAAGAAGGAGACAUCAGUGUUCUCUGUUGAGGGAAGAGAAGAUGGUGCAUAUAUGCAAUCCAUUAGGAUUUCCACCAUUCAUAUCUUAACAGGUAUACCAGACUGCAGACUAAGGAGGAGCCAUCUUCAAAAGGGCAGCAGAACAGCUUGUUCCAGUCUUCAGAUGAGAGAUGGCAAAGAUUCUUAUGGAAGGGAGUGUAUAAACAGGAGGGGGAACAACUGUUUACAUGAGUUGAUAGUGAUAGGACAAGGAGGAAUGGUUUUAAACUAAGGCAGGGGAGGUUUAGGUUGGAUAUUAGGAGGAAGUUUUUCACUCAGAGCCUGGUGACACACUGGAACAGGUUGCCCAGUGAGGUUGUGGAUGCCCCAUCCCUGGAGGCAUUCAAGGCCAGGCUGGAUAUGGCUCUGGGCAGCCUGGUCUGGUGGUUGGCGACUCUGCAUAUGGCAGGGGGGUUGAAACUACACGAUCAUUGUGGUCCUGUUCAACCCAGGCCAUUCUAUGAUUCUAUGAUUCUAGCCAAUGGAAUGUGCAUGGAAGGUUUCAAAGCAGAAAUUUCAGCCUCUGGGAGGCGUUAUGGAGGAUGGGAACAUAAAUGACAAUGGCACAAAUCAGAGAUGGAAGAACUUCUGAGAUCCCACCUUCUCUGUUCACCCAUUCAACAGCUCUUAACUGUUGGGAGUUUGUUUUUAAAACUAGUUGCUUAGUCUGGAGUUGUAUUAACUGUUUCAGUGGAGAAGCUGCCAUUUUCCUCAAAAUAACCUUUAUCAAACAUACACUUGGCCAGAUUCUGCUCUCACAAACACAGACAGGGUCUCAAAAUCUAAGCUCACGUGACCAGAUCCUCAGAGUUACUGAGUAACUAGGAGAGGAAGAGCAGUUCUGCCAGCUAUUCCUAUUUCACUUUAGUGUACUGAGAUGCCCUCCUUCUGAUGCUUCCCUUUGAUCCCCUGUUUACUCUUCCAGUCUUAGCUAACCUAUUUGCCAUUCUGCUACCUGACUUGCAGUUCUGUCAGCCACUUCUCUGGCACAAGAUAGUAAGCUACAGUAUUGUGCCUGCACGGAUACAGAACCCAGUGGGAUCAUUUCAUCUCCUUUUAGCUGCAAAGCUACAGGGCCAUCCAAUAGUGCAGGACACAAGUGGUCUCAAGGAUAAAAGUUCCGUGAUAGCAGGGCAUCCCCAAAAUCUUAAGACUUUCACAGUCAGACUUCUUCUGGAGGAAGAAAUGUGCCAGCUCUCCAGUUUUCUGAACUUUCUAAGGCUGUCGUGCUCUGCAAUCAGUACUACAGGCAGGAGAGGGAACAGUGGGAACAUUACCUCAGAGAUGAGGGCCCACACCAGCCUCCGCGCCAGCAUCACUGUGAUGAACGCCGCCAGGUGGUAGUCAAUAAGGUGGAAAUUCUGAAGAAGGAAAGAGAAAAGGUCUUCACCAGGGGAAGGGACUCUGAAACCACCCAUCUGGGGUGGGACUGGAAAGUGGCUGCUGAAAGCAUUAGUACCUUAGACAGGCAUGCCCCUAAUCUCCCUAUUAGAAACAUGGGAGAAGGGAGGAAAACAAGUAACAGGAAUGUCUCCAGAGGUAAAGGUCUUCCCCACAUGAGGGUCAAAGAAAGCUCUAGGACCAGGAUGCUACUGUGGAGAACAGCCCGCAAGUUCUCCUGGGAAAAGCCACCAACCAUCCACGGCAAGGGCAGCCAAGCCCAGAGUCCUGCACACCAGCUCACUCUAGCCCUUCGUCUCAGAAAUAGGCUGUAGUGACCACCAGCGCUCUCUGAUAAUCAAAGCCAUGUAAGGAAUGUCAUCUGCACUGGCCAUAGAUGUGUAUUAAUAUUGAUUCUGGCUGCAUCAAGUUAGCCAUAGCUCUUGGAACCCUUACAAUUUUUCAGUGAAGUCAUCAAAUGUGUUCUGGCUAGAACAGUUAGCUGAUUCUGAAUAGUGCUGUCUCGGCAGGAAAUUUUGGGUAUGUGAGAAUGCUUCACUUCUGAGAAUAGAUGGAAGUCCAUAAAAUGUUUUCAGGUAGAAAAACUAAAAUUGAAUGUUUUUUCUUCAACGAAAGCUGUGUCCAACAUUGCAUAGGUGAAUUUGAAACUAACAGCUGGAGAACUGGAGCACCAGCACCACCUGUCUGCACAGCUAACUGAGGAACCACUUCGUGUUUCAAUGCAAGAUGACCAUAUGAAUUAAGGACCAUUUCAGAAGUUAGAUUUACACGGUCACGGUUUGCUGACUCACGUACAAGUCAUUCAGACAGGAAAAAAAAAUGAAACUAAGGAGACUGGAAGGUUUACAUCAGCUGAGAAUCUGACUCCCAUCCCAACUCCCCUGCUGCUGACCUGUUGUGAGAUACUAACAAAAACCUCCAUCAUCCCCCCUCUCAGGCUCUUGUUGUCUCCAUUGGGAAGAGGCACCCACAGCAGGAGGCAGAAGGCUCCUGGAGACUCAACUUCAUUUCAAAAUGUAGUGGCUACCGAGGCCAUACAAGUGCCUGCAGAAACUACCAGUGAAGAAACCCUACUUCAUUGAAGAACCUCUCUCUCUCACCUUCCAUGGAUUUCCCCCCACCCCGUAAAACGAAGGAUGACAUGAGUCUGGUUGAUGGGGGUGUAACUGAAGUCCCCUUCACCCCCUUAUGUCAAAGGCUUGGUGAAUCCUGACCAGAAGAAGCAUGACAAGAAGCUGUGUAAUGCCAAAGCACAAGCAAUGGUAUUCACUGGGGAACUCACCAGUGAGGUACAGGAAGCAGGGUGAUUGUAUGGGUACCACCAGACAGUCUUGUAGAUGUUGAUGUACUGAAUGAAGAGGGCUACCAGUAGGUAGAUGAAGAACAGGAAUUCGAA